CCUACGGGUUGCAGCAGUGGGGAAUCUUCGGCAAUGGACGAAAGUCUGACCGAGCAACGCCGCGUGAGUGAAGAAGGUUUUCGGAUCGUAAAACUCUGUUGGUAGAGAAGAACGUUGGUGAGAGUGGAAAGCUCAUCAAGUGACGGUAACUACCCAGAAAGGGACGGCUAACUACGUGCCAGCAGCCGCGGUAAUACGUAGGUCCCGAGCGUUGUCCGGUUUUAUUGGGCGUAAAGCGAGCGCAGGUGGUUUAUUAAGUCUGGUGUAAAAGGCAGUGGCUCAACCAUUGUAUGCAUUGGAAACUGGUAGACUUGAGUGCAGGAGAGGAGAGUGGAAUUCCAUGUGUAGCGGUGAAAUGCGUAGAUAUAUGGAGGAACACCGGUGGCGAAGGCGGCCCCCUGGACAAAGACUGACGCUCAGGUGCGAAAGCGUGGGGAGCAAACAGGAUUAGAUACCCGUGUAGUC
rnacentral:rRNA from 1 species